GACGAACGCUGGCGGCGUGCUUAACACAUGCAAGUCGAACGGAAAGGCCCUGCUUUUGUGGGGUGCUCGAGUGGCGAACGGGUGAGUAACACGUGAGUAACCUGCCCUUGACUUUGGGAUAACUUCAGGAAACUGGGGAUAAUACCGGAUAGGAGCUCCUGCUGCAUGGUGGGGGUGGGAAAGUUUCGGCGGUUGGGGAUGGACUCGCGGCUUAUCAGCUUGUUGGUGGGGUAGUGGCUUACCAAGGCUUUGACGGGUAGCCGGCCUGAGAGGGUGACCGGCCACAUUGGGACUGAGAUACGGCCCAGACUCCUACGGGAGGCAGCAGUGGGGAAUAUUGCACAAUGGGCGGAAGCCUGAUGCAGCAACGCCGCGUGCGGGAUGACGGCCUUCGGGUUGUAAACCGCUUUCGCCUGUGACGAAGCGUGAGUGACGGUAAUGGGUAAAGAAGCACCGGCUAACUACGUG
rnacentral:rRNA from 1 species